ensembl:lncRNA
CGCCCUUCUGUGGCGGGGCCCUUCUCGCUCCGAGUCCCAGCGGUCGCUGCAGGGGCCGCUCCUGACAGCGGCGAGCGGCACGGGCUGGCACGGCCUGAGCGGGAAACUCUGAGGUAGCUUAACUGUUACUGUGUAACAACAAACACCUGGAACGCAGGAGCUUCAAAGCCCUAAAUGGUCAGAGAGAAAAACAACAUACUCCCAAAUUCCAGUUCACUUACUUCUUGUGUGACCAAGGAAACACCUGGACAUCAAAUGGACUUGCAGGGAAACAGAGAUUGUGAAACCACCAAGGCCAUCACUUCAGUAUGGUGGCUAUGGACCCACUUCAAGAGUUCAUAAGAUCAUCAAAUAAACAGUACAGGAAAAAAAAAAAAAAAAAGGCUGUUUUUUCCCCCUUUACAAAAUGCUGCAUAAUCCCAAUAAGGAAGAAUAGCUGUGUUUAAUGGCCUUCUGGAUUUGUCUGUGUGAAAAAUGGUAUGGGUGCAGACUUGAUGCUGCUGAAACCUAUUCAGAUUCGCAAAAGAAACUCUAAAAAUGCUGUGCCAUGGUAACUGUAAUAGAAAUGUUUUUCACCUGCUCAGUGCUCCUACAAGAUAAGGCAUCUGAGAGUAAAAAAAGAAGUCACUUAGUUGCUUGUUCCAGCUCUACUUUUGCAAACACACCUAAAUGUGAUGUUGCUCACUGCAUUGUCAGAGGUAUCAGCAGUCAACAUAGAAAGUGAUUUAAGUUUGCUUUAAUUGUCCGGAAGAAAUAAACAGAGAAGAUACAGUGAGGGCUCAUCCCCUUCUGCUCUGUUUAUUCAUCUUAAAAUACUUCAAUAGUGAUAAACUCUUCUGUACACAAUCUUUCUGUUGCAAAGUAUUUUAUGUUGUCAAGUUUAUUCCAGGUGGAAAGAAGGUAUUAAGAAAUAAAACAAGCAGCUCCCAGAGGAUUUUUCUUUUGCUUUCCUUUCCUCUCGCUCCCUCUACCCCAGAUUACAAA